rnacentral:misc_RNA from 1 species
UACGGGAGGCAGCAGUGGGGAAUUUUGGACAAUGGGGGAAACCCCGAUCCAGCCAUCCCGCGUGUGCGAUGAAGGCCUUCGGGUUGUAAAGCACUUUUGGCAGGGGUGAACGGCACGGGAUAAUACCGCGCAAUUGACGGUACCUGUAGCAAUAAGCGACCGGCUAAUCACGCCAGCAGCCGCGGUAAUACGUAGGGUGCAAGCGUUAAUCGGAAUUACUGGGCGUAAAGCGUGCGCAGGCGGUUCGGAAAGAAAGAUGUGAAAUCCCAGAGCGAACUUUGGAACUGCAUUUUUAACUACCGAGCUAGAGUGUGUCAGGAGGGAGGUGGAAUUCGCGUGUAGCAGUGAAAUGCGUAGAUAUGCGGAGAGGAACACCGAUGGCGAAGGCAGCCUCCUGGGAUAACACUGACGCUCAUGCACGAAAGCGUGGGGAGCAAACAGGAUUAGAUACCCGUGUAGU